AGAAGGGCUACAUGGAAAAUGCUGGGAACUAUAGGCCGGUGAGCUUAACAUCUGUAGUUGGUGAGUUACUGGAAAGUAUUCUGAAAGAUAGGAUAUACAGGCAUUUAGAUGGGCAAGGGCUGAUUAGGGACAGUCAGCAUGGUUUUGUACGUGGGAGGUCAUGUCUCACAAAACUGAUUGAUUUCUUUGAAGACGUGCACAAAAAGGCUGAAGAGUGGCCAAAGAGUAGGA